UGAACUAAAUAAAUAUGAAUGAAUUAUUUCUCAGGGUUUUGAAGUACAAUUACAUUUGGGUGUUACCUAUACUCUAGUAUCGUUGGUGUUCUACUAUUCUUUCUCAGUGAAUUCUGUGGUGAGGAUUAGAUGUUAGGGGAGGGGAAAAAAGGGGAUCAGUGCCUGUGGGCAGUGAAAUCUAAUUACAGUGUGAAAAGUUGGCUGUGUCUGUUGUUGCUCCGCUCUCCAGGUGCUAGCUUCUGCCAUAAUGCAGUGUCAUGAUCUGGUUUGUGCUUGGUGAGCCGGGGGCCGGCAAAACCGCUGCAGCCUCAGCCGGCACUGGCCGCCAAAUGGUGUCACGGACCUGCUGCAGGGUCAUCGUCGGUUGAAGGCGCUGCCCGCGACAGGUAAUCUCUAACUGCAUUUCACAGAGAAUGUUAAUGAGGUUUGACUCGUGAGCAUUCUUACUAUCAUUAUGAUUGCUGAAGCAAAGAUUAUGAUAUGACAACCACACAAUAUAUUUAUUAUUAUCUAUGUAUGAGCAAAAUACUGAAAUACACCACCAUUUUCUUUUUGUUCUAGUGGCAUGUAGUUUAUUGAUCAAAUAAAUAUUACCAGUUCACGAGUUAAUAUUAGAUGCUGAAUCUGGACAUAUGAUGGAACAAUACAUCUAAAUCUUUUUAAGCAAAAGUGUGUGCUGCGUCUUAGUUUUUCACCAGAUUAUUUGCAAAGCUAACCUCACUUUCGGUACCUUCUUUUGUUGUAAAUUGUAAUAAAUGACAGUAUCGAGUUUUCAUAUUUGAAUGAGAAUGGUGCCGUUUUUCUUGUCCUUGCUAUUGAAUGAAGGUACUCUAUUAGUGCUUAUCAUGGUUAUUGUCGUAAAAAUAGAACUGUAUAAUUUGAUUAACAUUUACAUGUCUUAAGUAUCAAAAUAGAAAAUUUCCAACUGGUCUGCAGCAAUCCAUACCGUACAUUACUACAUUACCAUAACAUCUACAUCUACAAUUUGGAAAUUGGUACUGCACCUUUUUCUCUAGGAAUUUUUGUAAUUAAGUUCUAAUGGGUAGAGGUACAAAUGGUACGGAUAUUUUCUGUUUUGUAUGCAAGUUUGGAUUUGGAUCUAGAGUCUGGAUAUUAGGGUUUGAUGAUCCAGAUUUUUUCUAAAAAUGUUUCGGAUCCAGAUUCUCUCAAGAACGUUUUUAGGAUGCAUCAGAAUCCCUUUGUUAGAUUGGCUGAUAGUAUGGAUUUUAGUUUCUCAAACAUAUAUGUUUUCAAUAAAAAAAAUCUUCUAAUGAGAAUAUGCUUAAAAAUCCAGAACUCUUUGUGUACGAAAGAACAACUUAAAUAUAACAAAUUUUAAUUUGUUGCACUUAAAAUUCUUGGUAAAUCUGCAAGGGAAGUACAAGAGGUG
rnacentral:lncRNA from 1 species